rnacentral:rRNA from 1 species
GCUAAUACCGGAUGAUGACGUAAGUCCAAAGAUUUAUCGCCCAGGGAUGAGCCCGCGUAGGAUUAGCUAGUUGGUGGGGUAAAGGCCUACCAAGGCGACCAUCCUUAUCUGGUCUGAGAGGAUGAUCAGCCACUCUGGGACUGAGACACGGCCCACACUCCUACGGGAGGCAGCACUAGGGAAUAUUGGACAAUGGGGGCAACCCUGAUCCAGCAAUGCCGCGUGAGUGAUGAAGGCCUUAUGGUUGUAAAGCUCUUUUACCAGACAUGAUAAUGACAGUAUCUGGGGAAUAAGCCCCGGCUAACUCCGUGCCAACAUCCGCGGUAAUACUGAGGGGGCUAGCGUUGUUCUGAAUUACUGGGCGUAAAGCGCACGUAAGCGGCGAUUUAAGUCAGAGGUGAAAGCCCGGGGCUCAACCCCCGAACUGCCUUUGAGACUGGAUUGCUUGAAUCCGGGAGAGGUGAGUGGAAUUCCGAGUGUAGAGGUGAAAUUCGUAGAUAUUCGGAAGAACACCAGUGGGGAAGGCGGCUCACGGGACCGGCAUUGACGUUGAGGUGCGAAAGCGGGGGGCCCAAACAGGAUUAGAUACCCUGGUAGUCCACGCCGUAAACGAUGAUAACUAGCUGCCGGGGCACAUGGUGUUUCGGUGGCGCAGCUAACGCAUUAAGUUAUCCGCCUGGGGAGUACGGUCGCAAGAUUAAAACUCAAAGGAAUUGACGGGGGCCUGCACAAGCGGUGGAGCAUGUGGUUUAAUUCGAAGCAACGCGCAGAACCUUACCAACGUUUGACAUCCUCAUCGCGAUUUCCAGAGAUGGAUUUCUUCAGUUCGGCUGGAUGAGUGACAGGUGCUGCAUGGCUGUCGUCAGCUCGUGUCGUGAGAUGUUGGGUUAAGUCCCGCAACGAGCGCAACCCUCGCCUUUAGUUGCCAGCAUUGAGUUGGGUACUCUAAAGGAACCGCCGGUGAUAAGCCGGAGGAAGGUGGGGAUGACGUCAAGUCCUCAUGGCCCUUACGCGUUGGGCUACACACGUGCUACAAUGGCGACUACAGUGGGCAGCGACCUCGCGAGGGGGAGCUAAUCUCCAAAAGUCGUCUCAGUUCGGAUUGUUCUCUGCAACUCGAGAGCAUGAAGGCGGAAUCGCUAGUAAUCGCGGAUCAGCAUGCCGCGGUGAAUACGUUCCCAGGCCUUGUUCACACCGCCCGUCACACCACGGGA